AUUGAACGCUGGCGGCAGGCCUAACACAUGCAAGUCGAGCGGAUGAUGGGAGCUUGCUCCCGGAUUCAGCGGCGGACGGGUGAGUAAUGCCUAGGAAUCUGCCUGGUAGUGGGGGACAACGUUUCGAAAGGAACGCUAAUACCGCAUACGUCCUACGGGAGAAAGCAGGGGACCUUCGGGCCUCGCGCUAUCAGAUGAGCCUAGGUCGGAUUAGCUAGUUGGUGGGGUAAAGGCCUACCAAGGCGACGAUCCGUAACUGGUCUGAGAGGAUGAUCAGUCACACUGGAACUGAGACACGGUCCAGACUCCUACGGGAGGCAGCAGUGGGGAAUAUUGGACAAUGGGCGAAAGCCUGAUCCAGCCAUGCCGCGUGUGUGAAGAAGGUCUUCGGAUUGUAAAGCACUUUAAGUUGGGAGGAAGGGCAGUAAGUUAAUACCUUGCUGUUUUGACGUUACCAACAGAAUAAGCACCGGCUAACUUCGUGCCAGCCGCCGCGGUAA
rnacentral:rRNA from 1 species